rnacentral:rRNA from 1 species
AUUGAACGCUGGCGGCAUGCCUUACACAUGCAAGUCGAACGGUAACGCGGGGCAACCUGGCGACGAGUGGCGAACGGGUGAGUAAUGUAUCGGAACGUGCCCAGGUGUGGGGGAUAACUGCUCGAAAGAGCAGCUAAUACCGCAUACGACCUGAGGGUGAAAGCGGGGGAUCGCAAGACCUAGCGCCAUUGGAGCGGCCGAAAUCAGAGUAGGUAGUUGGUGGGGUAAAGGCCCACCAAGGCGACGAUCAGUAGCGGGUCUGAGAGGAUGCUCCGCCACACUGGGACUGAGACACGGCCCAGACUCCCACGGGAGGCAGCAGUGGGGAAUUCUGGACAAUGGGCGCAAGCCUGAUCCAGCCAUGCCGCGUGUCUGAAGAAGGCCUUCGGGUUGUAAAGGACUUUUGUCCGGGAGCAAAUGCUGGUGGCUAACAUCCACCGGAGCUGAGAGUACCGGAAGAAUAAGCACCGGCUAACUACGUGCCAGCAGCAGCCGCAGUAA